AAUAGUGUGUUUGUUUGGGACUCCUUUCAGCUGCAGAUUAAUCCACAUUUGGUGCUCUAGUGAGUAUUUGUGGCAGCAGGAUGGUGUGUGUGGAUUUGACUCAAUGUAAACUACAGGGUGUGUGCU